UAGGGAAUAUUAGAAAUGGACGAAAGUCUGAUCUAGCAACACCGCGUGUGCGAAGAAGGCCUUCGGGUCGUAAAGCACUUUUUGGAGGAUGAGGAAGGACAGUACUCUUAGAAUAAGUCUCGGCUAACUACGUGCCAGCAGCCGCGGUAACACGUAGGAGGCAAACGUUAUCCGGAUUUACUGGGCGUAAAGCGCGUGUAGGUGGUUUGGUAAGUAGAGCGUGAAAGCUCCUGGCUCAACUGGGAGAGGUCGUUCUAAACUGCCGGACUAGAGGAUGGUAGAGGGAGGUGGAAUUCCGGGUGUAGCGGUGGAAUGCGCAGAUAUCCGGAGGAACACCAGUGGCGAAAGCGGCCUCCUGGACCACUCCUGACACUCAGACGCGAAAGCUAGGGUAGCAAACG
rnacentral:rRNA from 1 species